AGCUAGUUUCAUUCCAUCCUCUUGGGAGUUUCCAACCUAGUCCUAAGNGCAGGGUUUGCGGGUAGGCAACUUUACUACAAGCUAGAAGCGACAAAGCCGAUUCUUAAGUUGAAGUACCCGACCAGUAGUAUGACCUAAUCGAUUUAGUUAACUUCAUAAAGAUACAGAAUGCCUUUCCAUUCAGGGUAAGAAUAUAUGAAAAUUGAACUGAAAACAAAAAUCUCAGUCUCAAGGGAAGUUAGUACUUUCAUCAGCCGAAGAAGGUUGAAUAUGAUCACUUGAUUUAACUCCAGCNAGCCAUAGAGCAGCUUUGAGGUUCCCAUAUUAUAAUGGGUGAGAUAGAUAUAUAACGUAUUCUUAAUACAUUAAUAUUUUAUUGGCUUAAUAUCUCUUUUGGUCCUUCGAAAGAGGAGGUUUGCUCAAAGUGGUCCUACCUUUUUAAAAAAGUUGGAUAUGGUUCCAAGUUGUGAAAAAAGGGUCAAGUUAAUCGUUUCUGCUUACGACAUCAAAAAUAUAAUGGUACAGUUGCCCCUUGGCCAAAACAUAAUGACUUGUCCAAUUCUUGUCAUUGUGUGGCAUCGUGAGGUUAAAUGACGUGUAAAAUUUAAAUUUAAAAAAGAAUAUUUUGACAGAGUUGAUGGCGCGAUGUAGGGUUUGCUUGCUCUGCGUUGAAGAAGAUGCAAAUGUUAAUGGCGCGAUGAAGACCGGCGAUGAAGGGUUUGCUUGUAGGUUCGAAGAGUUUGAUGUGCUGAUGGAAAAUCUUGGUUUGGUGAUUUUCACGAGAGGAUUGGGCAUUUUUUUAUUUGCGAUGAACUCUCGAUUAGGGUUCCUAAUUUGGGGUUUCCUGUAGGUUUCGAAGGAGGAGAUUGGUUGGGGAGCUCACGUUUUGG
rnacentral:lncRNA from 1 species